rnacentral:rRNA from 1 species
CCUACGGGAGGCAGCAGUAAGGAAUAUUGGGCAAUGGACGCAAGUCUGACCCAGCCAUGCCGCGUGGAGGAUGAAGGUCCUCUGGAUUGUAAACUUCUUUUAUCUGGGAAGAAACCCAUAUUUUCUAAUGUGGUUGACGGUACCAGAUGAAUAAGCACCGGCUAACUCCGUGCCAGCAGCCGCGGUAAUACGGAGGGUGCAAGCGUUAUCCGGAUUCACUGGGUUUAAAGGGUGCGUAGGUGGGCAGGUAAGUCAGUGGUGAAAUCUCCGGGCUUAACCCGGAAACUGCCGUUGAUACUAUCUGUCUUGAAUACCGUGGAGAUGAGCGGAAUAUGUCGUGUAGCGGUGAAAUGCUUAGAUAUGACAUAGAACACCAAUUGCGAAGGCAGCUCGUUACACGAAUAUUGACUCUGAGGCACGAAAGCGUGGGGAUCAAACAGGAUUAGAUACCCUGGUAGUCCACGCCCUAAACGAUGGAUACUCGACAUACGCGAUACACUGUGUGUGUCUGAGCGAAAGCAUUAAGUAUCCCACCUGGGAAGUACGACCGCAAGGUUGAAACUCAAAGGAAUUGACGG